GCUAACUUGGGAGAGUGGUCUAAUCCGAUGUCUUCAGGCUCCUUAUCCGGGCAUGGCAUUCCAGAAAUGGGCGCAGGUUCGAACCCUGCAGUUAGCA
rnacentral:tRNA from 1 species